GUCGUCCCGGCCAGAUCUAGCCCAAAUCCCUUCUGCUUUGACCCUAGCCGCCAUCGACCGCCCUCCGCCGCCCGACCCCAGCAGCCCUCGACCACACAUCGCACCAACCUUCCUCACGGACCACCGCUGCUGCCGAGCAACCUCCUCCGACGCCGUCAAGUACCAUCGUCCGCAGAUCUGAUCCGCCCUCCGCCGCAUCCCUAGCGUCGCCCAAAUGUCACCGCUCCCUCCAUGCUUUCUCCCUGGGCUGCAACAUCUCCUUGCACCUCUCUCGAACUGCCGAGAUGGGCGUGCAGCGAGAUAGGUUUGGCGUCGCCGGCCCCUCCUGGUCGUACUCCUCCUGUGUGUGCUCCUCCGCCCCUGGUCACGUCAUGCUCUCCAGCCUAUCGUCCUUCAUCCGUACUACCCCAGUUCCUGCUGCUCCGGCCUCCCCUUCUCGUACUUCGAGCCCGAGAAUCAUAAGUUAAUAGAUGUUGGUGUCUCAGAAUGACAGGUAAUACCAUUUAAAAAUUUCAAUGAUUAAUGACACCACAUGGUCGAGCACAUAUGCCAAAUCUCCUUCCUCUGCUUCGAAGAAAAUAGCAGAGCACUCGAAUGGAAGAAUGUAUCUGGAACGUCAGCCUUAGCCAGUGCAGACCGCUCUAGCAACAGUUGCCGCUUUGUUUUACAUGUAAAUAUCUAUUACAAAGUGCUAUUUUCAGCUGUAAACAUUCAGCCUAUACGACUAUGUACUGCAUGUUUUACUAAUAAUUGCUGCCUGGUAUCUUGUCUGACCUGAAACAUAUGGUCAUUUUAGUAAUAGCAACAUCAAAGUAGAAAUUAGGUUGGGCAGCGAAGUCUUCUGUUCGUUUUUAGGUUCUAGCCAACAACAUAGUUCUUGUGUUGUUUUGGCCAUGUUUGGGUUCCUUUUGCAUUUGCUUCCCUUUUAAUGCUUGAUUUGUCUGCUAAAGGAGAUAGGAGACACUGCAGGUUGGCUGUGUCCACGGUGCUGCUUUUGCCUAAGAUGGAUUCAAGUUAUUGAGGUUGGUAUCGUCACUCGAAGAUGUUUCUACAUGAUAGUAGUUGUACCAGUCAACUUGGAUGUCUACGUAAUGGUUCUUUUUACAGUAAUACCUUCAAAGCAUUGCAAGCUCAUGACUCUUCUGCUGGAGACAUGUGGCCAUCUUCGAAUAAUACAAUUUCACAGGAUGGUUGCAACCACGUGCUGAGCUUAAACCAUGUGUGUACCAUAGUUUGAAGACUCGAAAUCUUAUCAGCUUAUGUAAAGUUUGUUUACCGCUGUAGCUGGUUGCUACCGAACGCAUGUAUGGAUGUUGAAGUAUUGGUUUUUUCAGUCUAAAAAUAUUUGUGAAGUUCAAGGUUUUGAAUGAGGCCUAUAUGUAACUUCGAUUGAAGCUAUAUGUAUAAGUUGUGAUC